AUGCCUUGGCAUGAGGGUGCCGGUCCCAACAUUUUGGUCAGGCGAAUACUAGAAAAACUCGCAGGUUCGGCCCUGGAGGUUCUCAGGCUCGACUCCGAGAGCUGCUCGCUUUCCGAGGAGUCCCUGGCGAGGAUUGUGCUCGGAGAGGACCCACACGACGCUCCGCUUGCCGUCGUGGUGCACCCCUUUUGA
rnacentral:rRNA from 1 species